GAUGAACGCUGGCGGCGUGCCUAAUACAUGCAAGUCGAGCGGACAGACGAGGAGCUUGCUCCUCUGACGUUAGCGGCGGACGGGUGAGUAACACGUGGAUAACCUACCUAUAAGACUGGGAUAACUUCGGGAAACCGGAGCUAAUACCGGAUAAUAUAUUGAACCGCAUGGUUCAAUAGUGAAAGACGGUUUUGCUGUCACUUAUAGAUGGAUCCGCGCCGCAUUAGCUAGUUGGUAAGGUAACGGCUUACCAAGGCAACGAUGCGUAGCCGACCUGAGAGGGUGAUCGGCCACACUGGAACUGAGACACGGUCCAGACUCCUACGGGAGGCAGCAGUAGGGAAUCUUCCGCAAUGGGCGAAAGCCUGACGGAGCAACGCCGCGUGAGUGAUGAAGGUCUUCGGAUCGUAAAACUCUGUUAUUAGGGAAGAACAAAUGUGUAAGUAACUAUGCACGUCUUGACUGUACCUAAUCAGAAAGCCACGGCUAACUACGUG
rnacentral:rRNA from 1 species